rnacentral:rRNA from 1 species
AACCGGAGCUAAUACCGGAUAGUUCCUUGAACCGCAUGGUUCAAGGAUGAAAGACGGUUUCGGCUGUCACUUACAGAUGGACCCGCGGCGCAUUAGCUAGUUGGUGAGGUAACGGCUCACCAAGGCGACGAUGCGUAGCCGACCUGAGAGGGUGAUCGGCCACACUGGGACUGAGACACGGCCCAGACUCCUACGGGAGGCAGCAGUAGGGAAUCUUCCGCAAUGGACGAUAGUCUGACGGAGCAACGCCGCGUGAGUGAUGAAGGUUUUCGGAUCGUAAAGCUCUGUUGUUAGGGAAGAACAAGUGCAAGAGUAACUGCUUGCACCUUGACUGUACCUAACCAGAAAGCCACGGCUAACUACGUGCCAGCAGCCGCGGUAAUACGUAGGUGGCAAGCGUUGUCCGGAAUUAUUGGGCGUAAAGGGCUCGCAGGCGGUUUCUUAAGUCUGAUGUGAAAGCCCCCGGCUNNCAACCGGGGAGGGUCAUUGGAAACUGGGAAACUUGAGUGCAGAAGAGGAGAGUGGAAUUCCACGUGUAGCGGUGAAAUGCGUAGAGAUGUGGAGGAACACCAGUGGCGAAGGCGACUCUCUGGUCUGUAACUGACGCUGAGGAGCNANAGCGUGGGGAGCGAACAGGAUUAGAUACCCUGGUAGUCCACGCCGUAAACGAUGAGUGCUAAGUGUUAGGGGGUUUCCG